rnacentral:rRNA from 1 species
UUCAUGGAGAGUUUGAUCCUGGCUCAGGACGAACGCUGGCGGCGUGCCUAAUACAUGCAAGUCGAGCGGACCGACGGGAGCUUGCUCCCUUAGGUCAGCGGCGGACGGGUGAGUAACACGUGGGUAACCUGCCUGUAAG